rnacentral:rRNA from 1 species
GACGAACGCUGGCGGCGUGCUUAACACAUGCAAGUCGAACGGAAAGGCCCUGCUUUUGUGGGGUGCUCGAGUGGCGAACGGGUGAGUAACACGUGAGUAACCUGCCCUUGACUUUGGGAUAACUUCAGGAAACUGGGGCUAAUACCGGAUAGGAGCUCCUGCUGCAUGGUGGGGGUUGGAAAGUUUCGGCGGUUGGGGAUGGACUCGCGGCUUAUCAGCUUGUUGGUGGGGUAGUGGCUUACCAAGGCUUUGACGGGUAGCCGGGCUGAGAGGGUGACCGGCCACGUUGGGACUGAGAUACGGCCCAGCCUCCUACGGGACGCAGCAGUGGGGAAUAUUGCACAGUGGGCGGGAGCCUGGUGCAGCAACGCCGCGUGCGGGAUGACGGCCUUCGGGUUGUAAACCGCUUCCGCCUGUGACGAGGCGUGAGUGACGGUAAUGGGUAAAGAAGCACCGGCUAACUACGUG